UUAAAAGAAAAUAAUAGUCAGCGAUAAGAGCUUAUAUCAACGAUGAAAUUUUUGACAACGAUUUUUUAGGGUUCCGUAGCCAAAUGGCAAAAAACGGAACCCUUAUAGAUUCGUCAUGCCUGUCUGUCUGUCUGUCUGUCUGUCUGUCCGUCCGUAUGUCACAGCCACUUUUUUCCGAAACUAACUAUAAGAACUAUACUGUUGAAAUUUGGUGAGUAGAUAUAUUCUGUGAACCGCAUUAAGAUUUUUACACAAAAAUAGAAAAAGAAACAAAAAAUUAUGGGGCUAUGCAUAGGUCUUCAAAAAUGAUAUUGAGGUUUCUAAUAUCAUUUUUUUCUAAACUGAAUAGUUUGCGCGAGAGACACACGUACAUUACCAUGCAAACUUCCACCGAAAAUUGGUUUAAACGAGAUCUAGUAAGUAGUUUUUUUUUAAUCGUCAUAAA